rnacentral:rRNA from 1 species
GCUUGACUCUAGUCUGACUCUGUGAAGAGACACGAGGCAUAAGUGAGAGGUCACGGGAUACGGCCUCGUUUCGGCGUGGUCCUCGUGGCCGCCAGUGAAAUACCACUACUCUCAUCGUUUCUUUACUUACUCGGUGGAGCGGGAAGCGGACCAUUGAGUUGUCCACGCUUCUAGCGCCAAACGACGGGUCCCCGGUGUCUCCCUUCGCGGCUGGUGCCGGUCGGGCCUGUGCGACCUGUUCCGAGGACAGUGUCAGGCGAGGAGUUUGGAUUGGGGCGGUACAUCUGUCAAACGGUAACGCAAGUGUCCUAAGGCGAGCUCAGCGAGGACAGAAACCUCGCGUAGAGCAAAAGGGCAAAUGCUUGCUUGAUCUUGAAUUUCAGUUCCUCGGCGCGCUUAAUGGCCCGGAGCUGGGCGUGUACCGCGUAAAAAAAAU